rnacentral:snoRNA from 1 species
CAGCACGUGUUCAGUUUUUGUCUGGUGCUGUAGACAAAAACCUGGAACCUGGUGCUUAGAAAAACACCUUCUUUCGCAACCCACAGCUGAUGCAUGUAUUGGCUGUGUUACUUAUAUGAAGGGACAGUG